rnacentral:rRNA from 1 species
CCUGGUUGAUCCUGCCAUAGUCUAUGCCUGUCUCACAGAUUAAGCCAUGCAUGUGCAGUAAUGACUACUUCGAACUGGUGAAACAGCCGAUGGCUCAUUAAAUCGUUAUUAGUUUGUUUGAUGUCAACGUGCUAACUCUCUACUUCGGAUAACCGUAGUUAAUCCUAAGAGCUAAUACGUGUCAACAACCCGACUUCCGGGAGGGGCGCAUUUCUUAAUAAAAUGCUUGACGCGGCUUCUGCUCGCUGAUCCGAUGAUUCUGAUAACUUGAGACGAUCGCACGGCCCUCGUCGGCGACGCAUCAUCAAAUUUUGCUCUAUCACCUUUCGAUGGUAGGAUAGGGGCCUACCAUGGUGUUACGGGUGACGAGAUUAGGGUCCGAUUCCAGGAGAGGGAGCCUGAGAAACGGCUACGACUCCAAGGAAGCGCAGCAGGCGCGCAAAUUACCCCAAGUUCCUGACACGGGGAGGUAGUGAGUGACAUAAAUAACAAUAACCGGCGCAUUAUGUCUGGUAAUUGGAAUAGUACAAUCUAAAUCCCUUAACGGGAUUCCAUUGAGGCAAGUCUGGUGCUAGCAGCCCGCGGUAAUUCCAUUUCCCAGCUCCAUAGCGUAUAUUUAAGUUUUGCAUUAAAAAGCUCCGUAGUUGGCCUUGGGCCGGGUUGGCCGGUCCGCCUCACGGUGAGAACGACCUAUCGACCCUUCUGCCGCUAUCGCUCCUCCUGCCUUAAUUGUCCGGUCCGGCCGCCGACGCUGUUACUUUGACGAAAUUGAGAGUGCUCAAGCAAGCCCUCGCUCUGGAUACAUUAGCAUGGGAUAACAUCAUAGGGUUUCCGGUCCUAUUGUGGUUUGCCCUUCCGGGAUCGAGUAAAUGUUAUAGGGACAGUCGGGGGCAUUCCGUAUUUCAUAGAUUCAAGAGGUAAAUUCUUGAUUUAGGAAAGACGAACAACUGCGAAGCAUUGCCAAGGAUGUUUUCAUCAUUAUCAAGAACGAAGUUGGGGUGCUCGAAGACGAUCAGAUACCGUCCUGUCUUCAACCAUUAAACGAUGCCGACCAUGGACGGCGAUGUUGCUUAUAAGGACUCCUCCGCACCUUAUGAUGAGAAUCAAAGUCUUUGGGUUCCGGGGGGGAGUAUGGUCGCAAUGCUGAAACUUAAAGAAUUGACGGAAGGGCAAUAACCCACCCUGCGUGGAGCCUGCGGCUUAUAAAAUUGACUCACACGGGGAAACUUACCAGGUCCAGACAUAUGCAAGUAUUUGACAGACUGAGAGCUCUUUCUUGCUUCUAUGGGUGGUGGUGCAUGGCCGUUCUUAGUUGGUGAGCGAUUUUCUGGGUUAAUUCCAUUAACGAACGAACACUCAGCGUGCUAACUAGCAUGCGGAGCAUCCCUCCACAGCUAUAGCUUCUUAGAGGACUAUGGCCGUUUAGCCACGGAAGUUGAGGCAAUAACAGGCUGUGGAUGCCCUUUAUGUUCUGGCCGCACUCGCGCUACACUGAUUAUCCACGAGUAUAUAGCCUUGGCCGACAGGCCCGGUAAUCUUGGGAAUUUUCUCGUGAGGGGAUAGAUCAUUGCAAUUGUUGGUCCCUUCAACGAGGAAUGCCUAGUAACCGCAGUCACAGCUCGAUUACUACGUCCCAGCCCUUUGUACACACCGCCUCCGUCCCCUAACCGAUUGAAUGGUCCGUGAAAGUGUUCGAUCGCGGCGACGGAGGCGGUUCGCUGCCCCCCCGACGUUGCGAGAAGUUCCAUUGAACCUUAUCAUUUAGAAGAAUGAUAAGUCGUAAUCAAGUUUUCCGUAGGUUGAACCGGCGGAAG